GUGCAGUACAGAUAUUUUUUUAUAUAUUGGGUCGUUCCAUAAAAGAUCCAUCCCCCCCCCCCCCACGGAGGAAAUUUUUGCUGUCCGAAGGGGGAGGGAGGAAAAAUGUCUUAGGAUGUCCGAAGGGGGGGAGAGGAAAAAUGUCUUAGGAUGUCCGAAGGGGGGGAGAGGAAUGUGGAUAUGUUUGUCUGAAGGUUUGAGACUGUGAUAAAGCUAUGUGAUCGGCGAUUAUAAUGAGCACGCAAUUUUUAUCGGCUAUAUGUAGCUCUUGAACACCGGAACGUUUAUGUAACAGCAAUAAUUAUACGUCCACGUAACUCGUAAGCAAAAUAAGCGGCCCACUUUUGCAUGCAUGGCCACCAAAAACUAACUCGCUGUAACAGCAUAUCCUGCAUGUUGAGAAUGAGUCGAAAAUUGACACGCUUUAUUUAUAUAGUCUAUAUAGUUUGCAGUUUUCGUUCGUAUAUAUAAGUUUGAAUUAUUCAAGUGUUGAAAAUAAUUAUAGUUAUUAAACUGUUGCUCGAAUUAAGAGACUGCUAUGUGAACUGAACUCAAAACAAUUUGUUUUGGUAUAUAGUCAAUAAGGCUUCCUUGCAAUUUGUGUGUCUAGAAAAUAGAAAUGGCUUUCAUAUUAAGGGCGAGGUUAAGGAAUGCCGUAAUACUAAAAAAUGCAUUAACCUGUAAGUAAACAUAGCAACGCUUGUCAAUCAGUCGCAAAUUACAUCGAAUUUCAG